rnacentral:rRNA from 1 species
UUGAUCAUGGCUCAGGAUGAACGCUAGCGGCAGGCUUAACACAUGCAAGUCGAGGGGCAGCGGGGAGGAAGCUUGCUUUCUCCGCCGGCGACCGGCGCACGGGUGAGUAACACGUAUGCAACCUGCCCCUGUCAGGGGGACAACCCGCCGAAAGGCGGGCUAAACCCGCGUACAUGCCACCGGGGCAUCCCGGAGGCAGGAAAGGCUUCGGCCGGACAGGGAUGGGCAUGCGGCGCAUUAGGCAGUAGGCGGGGUAACGGCCCACCUAACCGACGAUGCGUAGGGGUUCUGAGAGGAAGGUCCCCCACACUGGUACUGAGACACGGACCAGACUCCUACGGGAGGCAGCAGUGAGGAAUAUUGGUCAAUGGUCGGGAGACUGAACCAGCCAAGCCGCGUGAGGGAGGAAGGUACAGAGUAUCGUAAACCUCUUUUGUCAGGGAACAAAGACUGGGACGCGUCCCCGGAUGAGUGUACCUGAAGAAAAAGCAUCGGCUAACUCCGUGCCAGCAGCCGCGGUAAUACGGAGGAUGCGAGCGUUAUCCGGAUUUAUUGGGUUUAAAGGGUGCGCAGGCGGUCUGUUAAGUCAGCGGUCAAAGCCCGGGGCUCAACCCCGGCCCGCCGUUGAAACUGGCAGUCUCGAGUUGGAGAGAAGUAUGCGGAAUGCGCGGUGUAGCGGUGAAAUGCAUAGAUAUCGCGCAGAACUCCGAUUGCGAAGGCAGCAUGCCGGCUCCACACUGACGCUGAGGCACGAAAGCGUGGGUAUCGAACAGGAUUAGAUACCCUGGUAGUCCACGCAGUAAACGAUGAAUGCUGGCUGUCCGGGGGGACUGACCCCUGGGUGGCGAAGCGAAAGCGAUAAGCAUUCCACCUGGGGAGUACGCCGGCAACGGUGAAACUCGAAGGAAUUGACGGGGGCCCGCACAAGCGGAGGAACAUGUGGUUUAAUUCGAUGAUACGCGAGGAACCUUACCCGGGCUCAAACGGGGAGUGACUCAGGCAGAGACGCCUGUUUCCCACGGGACACUCCCCGAGGUGCUGCAUGGUUGUCGUCAGCUCGUGCCGUGAGGUGUCGGCUUAAGUGCCAUAACGAGCGCAACCCCCGCGUGCAGUUGCUAACAGAUAACGCUGAGGACUCUGCACGGACUGCCGGCGCAAGCCGCGAGGAAGGCGGGGAUGACGUCAAAUCAGCACGGCCCUUACGUCCGGGGCGACACACGUGUUACAAUGGGUGGUACAGCGGGAAGCCAGGCGGCGACGCCGAGCGGAACCCGAAAUCCACUCUCAGUUCGGAUCGGAGUCUGCAACCCGACUCCGUGAAGCUGGAUUCGCUAGUAAUCGCGCAUCAGCCAUGGCGCGGUGAAUACGUUCCCGGGCCUUGUACACACCGCCCGUCAAGCCAUGGGAGCCGAGGGCGCUUGAAGUGCGUCGCCGCGAGGCGCGCCCUAGAGCGAAAUCGGUGACUGGGGCUAAGUCGUAACAAGGUAGCCGU